GAACAGUCAUCAGUGCCAGAAAACCACAGACAGUAAACCCAAGACCCGCAAAGACCCUCAGUUUCAGAAGGAAAACCACUGUGAAUGACUCAAACUAUUCAACCUUUUCCCAUCGGAAUGAUGCAAAGUGAGCCCACCCUCCAUGGGAGCUGAAGUCCAUCAUCCACAGCAGCCCUCGACAGUAGGAGCACAUGGAGCCCGGAUCAUACAUAGAAUCAUAGCCCAGUUCCAAGUCACAGCUGAUCCACAGCAUCCCUGGAUCCACCAGGAAGCCAUUUCUUCAGUCUCUGAGGCUGUAACUGGAAUGAACAUUCUUGGUAGUUGACACAACGCCUGCGGUGGUUCCUUGGCCUGUGAGGUAAGAGCUGCUAUAGUAUAGAAAGCCAAGUGAAGGAAGCCUCUAAGCCUGCCUCUACCCCGGCAAGGUCAAGGGUAAUAUCCCAUGAAGACAAGAGCCACACACUAUGGGUGAUGGAACCAAACAAUGGAAGGAGUGGGGCUCUGGACGCCUUUGUGAAGCUGAGCCACUAUGGCAGCUGAGACUUUUACAUGAGAGAGCAAUAAAUUUC
rnacentral:lncRNA from 1 species